UACGUAGGGUGCAGGCGUUAAUCGGAAUUACUGGGCGUAAAGCGUGCGCAGGCGGUUUCUUAAGUCAGAUGUGAAAGCCCCGGGCUUAACCUGGGAACUGCGUUUGAAACUGGGAGACUUGAGUGUGGCAGAGGGGGGUGGAAUUCCACGUGUAGCAGUGAAAUGCGUAGAUAUGUGGAGGAACACCGAUGGCGAAGGCAGCCCCCUGGGUUAACACUGACGCUCAUGCGCGAAAGCGUGGGGAGCAAACAGG
rnacentral:rRNA from 1 species